rnacentral:rRNA from 1 species
UGGCGGCAGCUACACAUGCAGUCGAGCGGUAGCACAGAGAGCUUGCUCUCGGGUGACGAGCGGCGGACGGGUGAGUAAUGUCUGGGAAACUGCCUGAUGGAGGGGGAUAACUACUGGAAACGGUAGCUAAUACCGCAUAAUGUCGCAAGACCAAAGUGGGGGACCUUCGGGCCUCAUGCCAUCAGAUGUGCCCAGAUGGGAUUAGCUAGUAGGUGGGGUAACGGCUCACCUAGGCGACGAUCCCUAGCUGGUCUGAGAGGAUGACCAGCCACACUGGAACUGAGACACGGUCCAGACUCCUACGGGAGGCAGCAGUGGGGAAUAUUGCACAAUGGGCGCAAGCCUGAUGCAGCCAUGCCGCGUGUGUGAAGAAGGCCUUCGGGUUGUAAAGCACUUUCAGCGGGGAGGAAGGCGAUAAGGUUAAUAACCUUGUCGAUUGACGUUACCCGCAGAAGAAGCACCGGCUAACUCCGUGCCAGCAGCCGCGGUAAUACGGAGGGUGCAAGCGUUAAUCGGAAUUACUGGGCGUAAAGCGCACGCAGGCGGUCUGUCAAGUCGGAUGUGAAAUCCCCGGGCUCAACCUGGGAACUGCAUUCGAAACUGGCAGGCUAGAGUCUUGUAGAGGGGGGUAGAAUUCCAGGUGUAGCGGUGAAAUGCGUAGAGAUCUGGAGGAAUACCGGUGGCGAAGGCGGCCCCCUGGACAAAGACUGACGCUCAGGUGCGAAAGCGUGGGGAGCAAACAGGAUUAGAUACCCUGGUAGUCCACGCCGUAAACGAUGUCGAUUUGGAGGUUGUGCCCUUGAGGCGUGGCUUCCGGAGCUAACGCGUUAAAUCGACCGCCUGGGGAGUACGGCCGCAAGGUUAAAACUCAAAUGAAUUGACGGGGGCCCGCACAAGCGGUGGAGCAUGUGGUUUAAUUCGAUGCAACGCGAAGAACCUUACCUGGUCUUGACAUCCACAGAACUUAGCAGAGAUGGUUUGGUGCCUUCGGGAACUGUGAGACAGGUGCUGCAUGGCUGUCGUCAGCUCGUGUUGUGAAAUGUUGGGUUAAGUCCCGCAACGAGCGCAACCCUUAUCCUUUGUUGCCAGCGGUCCGGCCGGGAACUCAAAGGAGACUGCCAGUGAUAAACUGGAGGAAGGUGGGGAUGACGUCAAGUCAUCAUGGCCCUUACGACCAGGGCUACACACGUGCUACAAUGGCAUAUACAAAGAGAAGCGACCUCGCGAGAGCAAGCGGACCUCAUAAAGUAUGUCGUAGUCCGGAUUGGAGUCUGCAACUCGACUCCAUGAAGUCGGAAUCGCUAGUAAUCGUAGAUCAGAAUGCUACGGUGAAUACGUUCCCGGGCCUUGUACACACCGCCCGUCACACCAUGGGAGUGGGUUGCAAAAGAAGUAGGUAGCUUAACCUUCGGAGGCGCUA